UCCGUAGGUGAACCUGCGGAGGGAUCAUUACCGAGUUUACAACUCCCAAACCCAAUGUGAACCAUAACAAACUGUUGCCUCGGCGGGGUCACGCCCCGGGUGCGUCGCAGCCCCGGAACCAGGCGCCCGCCGGAGGGACCAACCAAACUCUUUUCUGUAGUCCCCUCGCGGACGUUAUUUCUUACAGCUCUGAGCAAAAAUUCAAAAUGAAUCAAAACUUUCAACAACGGAUCUCUUGGUUCUGGCAUCGAUGAAGAACGCAGCGAAAUGCGAUAAGUAAUGUGAAUUGCAGAAUUCAGUGAAUCAUCGAAUCUUUGAACGCACAUUGCGCCCGCCAGUAUUCUGGCGGGCAUGCCUGUCCGAGCGUCAUUUCAACCCUCGAACCCCUCCGGGGGGUCGGCGUUGGGGACCUCGGGAGCCCCUAAGACGGGAUCCCGGCCCCGAAAUACAGUGGCGGUCUCGCCGCAGCCUCUCCUGCGCAGUAGUUUGCACAACUCGCACCGGGAGCGCGGCGCGUCCACGUCCGUAAAACACCCAACUUCUGAAAUGUUGACCUCGGAUCAGGUAGGAUGCCGGAA
rnacentral:rRNA from 1 species